UGUUCUUCCGAUCUGUUCGCGUCCGUUUUGACAUCCAUUUUCGUAAAUGAAUUCGCCGCACAUAUGGUUUCGCGGCGAUAAAGAACGUUAAGAAAAAGUGACCGAUGAUAGAAAUAAUCAAAUGAAAUG